CCAAAAACCCAGCGAACCCAUCCACCAUCAUGUUCGUCUUGCGAAUCCAGUCCGUCGACUUCCCCGCCGCCUCCGCCUCUCCGGCCGCCGCCGCCGCCGACGAGGUCGGCACCAGCGGCGGCGCCACCUCCCACCCCCUCUCCCCGCCCUCCAGCAACCCUCCCCCAUCCACCACCACGUCGUCCAUACCUCCCCUCGAGCUCCCCGGCGCGACCUCCGCGGCGCCCGCCCGAAGCCCUAGGAUCCACCACACCAGCGGCGUCAUCCACCUCUACCACUCGUCGUCGUCCACCUCCACCACCUCCUCCUCCUCCUACGCCUCGGCCGUCGCCGCCACCUCCUCCUCCUCCCACGGGCCGGCCGCCCCGCAGCCCGCCUCCGACUCGCUCCUCCCGCCAUGGCGCGGCACGCGGCUCCUGGUGCUCGCCGUUCCGACGCGCGUUUCGCCGGACGACUUUAUCCGCUUCUGUGGCCCCUACCUCGAGCGCGCCUCGGACAUCCGUUUCAUCAGGGAUGAUGGAGUGGAGGACCGGUACAGCGUCCUUGUGGAGUUUGAGGACCAGAAGAGCGCUGAUGGGUUCUACCUGGACCUUAACGGCUGGAGGUUCUCAUCCUCAGAGGGAGAGGUGUGCCAUGUUCUGUUUAUAGCAGCUGUGCAGUAUACACCUUCUUCGGAGAUUGCCACAACUCCACCGGCUGGAUCCACCGAACUUCCGAUAUGCCCUGUUUGCAUAGAAAGAUUGGACCAAGACAUCAGUGGGAUUUUGGCAACUACUUGUGAUCACUCCUUCCAGUGUUCAUGCGUUUCAGUGUGGGUCAAUUCAUCUUGUCCGGUAUGUCAGUUUUGUCAGAAGCAGCCUGAAAAUUCUACUUGCUCUGUUUGCCCAACUUCCGGAAACCUCUGGAUAUGUGUGAUUUGCGGUUUUGUUGGAUGUGGAAGGUAUCAAGAAGGCCAUGCAAAACAGCACUGGAAAGACACUCAGCACUGCUAUUCGCUAGAUUUGGAAACACAGCGUGUUUGGGAUUACGUUGGUGAUAGUUUUGUCCAUCGUCUGAAUCACUCGAAGAGUGAUGCGAAAAAUGCUAAAUUCAAGUCAAAAUGUAAAUACUCUGGGGAUGACUGUGUGAACUGCACGUGCGAUGAUGACUCAGACAUGGGUGGAGCUAUGUUCAGCAGCAAAGCUGAAACAAUUGUGGACGAGUACAAUCGCCUCCUGGCAAGUCAACUCGAAACUCAGAGAGAGUAUUAUGAGGGACUUUUGUCUGAGGCUAAAAGAAACAAGGAACGCCGCAUCUCUGAAGCUGUUGAUAAAGCUGUGAAUGAUAAGCUUCAAGAGCUCCAACUUAAGCUCGAAAACCUAAUGGUGGAGAAAAAGAAAGUUGCAGAUAAGAAUGAAAAACUAACUAGGAGCCAAGACAUGUGGCGUCAGACACUAAGAGAUAUUGAGGAAAGGGAAAAGGCACAGUUGAAAUCGAAGGACGAAACAAUUCGUGAUCUGGAAGAACAGAUCAAGGAUUUCAAAUUUUCCAUCAAGUUGCAGAAGUCGAUAGAGAAGAACGAUGGUGUCAAGGGUGGUACGCUGGUGCCACUUCAUAUGGAGUCAGAUUCUGGAGGCAAGGGUAAAAGAUCAUCAAGAACAAGCAAGAGGAGGAAUUAGUAGCCUCCAGCACUUAUCAUGCAUAGUGGCGCUCCCUUUGUUGGCUAGCAAGUUAUUUCUGACCGGAAGACUUGGGUCAAACGCAAAACGUAUAAGGUUGCACGUGCAAUUUUGAAGCUAUUACAGGAUUUCAUGAUGACUACUUAUUUUCAACUAGGUGGUCAGUUGGAUGCCAAUGAUAUCAUCUAUAGUCUGAGUAUGACAGCGCCCAUAUGAAUGGCAAAAUGUGAAUGCAACUGUAGCCCAAAAUGCCAACGCGAAGGAAGCAGCGCUGACCAUGUAAAGGGUUGGAUCAUUAGACGUCUCAUCAUCAUCCACAUCUUCUGGUGCAGGGGCAACAGGACCUAAGCUAGCAGGGCACAUAUUUCGGAGGUUCUUGUUGCCUUGGUAGCUAUUCAUGCUGAACGUACUAAACUGACCGGAGUCCGGUAUGCAGCCUGAUAAGUUGUUGUGCGCCACAGAGAACACCUCCAACGACGAUAGCUGGGUUAACUCCCAUGGUAUCGUGACGUUCCACUUAGCUCAUUGUGAGAUAA